GACGAACGCUGGCGGCGUGCUUAACACAUGCGAGUCGAACGGAAAGGCCCUGCUUUUGUGGGGUGCUCGAGUGGCGAACGGGUGAGUAACACGUGAGUAACCUGCCCUUGACUUUGGGAUAACUUCAGGAAACUGGGGCUAAUAACGGAUAGGAGCUCCUGCUGCAUGGUGGGGGUUGGAAAGUUUCGGCGGUUGGGGAUGGACUCGCGGCUUAUCAGCUUGUUGGUGGGGUAGUGGCUUACCAAGGCUUUGACGGGUAGCCGGCCUGGGAGGGUGACCGGCCAGAUUGGGACUGAGGUACGGCCCAGACUCCUACGGGAGGCAGCAGUGGGGAAUAUUGCACAAUGGGCGGAAGCCUGAUGCAGCAACGCCGCGUGCGGGAUGACGGCCUUCGGGUUGUAAACCGCUUUCGCCUGUGACGAAGCGUGAGUGACGGUAAUGGGUAAAGAAGCACCGGCUAACUACGUG
rnacentral:rRNA from 1 species